AUGGCGGCGGAUGCGCGGGUCCAGCCUGAGCGUGGGCACUGGCGGCGGCCGGCAAGGCAAGCGUCUCGGGCAGUGGUGCUCGGGGCGAGGCGCGCAUCGUCGGAGUGGGCUGGACAAGAGGAUGAGGUUGAUGGCGGGAAAGCGGCGGCUCGUCAGGCGUCGGGCUGCCGGCGGGGACGGCCGUGGUGGUCGGCCAUGGCACCGGAAGCGCGGGUCCAGACUGAGCAUGGCCACUGGUGGAGUCCGGUGAGGCUAGAGGCGAGCUGCUCGGGGGGUGCUGCUCAGGGCGAGGCGCGCGUUGCGGGAUCGGGCAUGACGUCCUCUGUGUGGCUGGUUGGAGAGACACCAAAAUAA
rnacentral:rRNA from 1 species